CAAACGACUCUCGGCAACGGAUAUCUCGGCUCACGCAUCGAUGAAGAACGYAGCAAAAUGCGAUACUUGGUGUGAAUUGCAGAAUCCCGUGAACCAUCGAGUUUUUGAACGCAAGUUGCGCCCAAAGCCACUCGGCUGAGGGCACGCCUGCCUGGGCGUCACGC
rnacentral:rRNA from 1 species